rnacentral:rRNA from 1 species
GAUGAACGCUGGCGGCGUGCCUAAUACAUGCAAGUCGAGCGAACGGACGAGAAGCUUGCUUCUCUGAUGUUAGCGGCGGACGGGUGAGUAACACGUGGAUAACCUACCUAUAAGACUGGGAUAACUUCGGGAAACCGGAGCUAAUACCGGAUAAUAUUUUGAACCGCAUGGUUCAAAAGUGAAAGACGGUCUUGCUGUCACUUAUAGAUGGAUCCGCGCUGCAUUAGCUAGUUGGUAAGGUAACGGCUUACCAAGGCAACGAUGCAUAGCCGACCUGAGAGGGUGAUCGGCCACACUGGAACUGAGACACGGUCCAGACUCCUACGGGAGGCAGCAGUAGGGAAUCUUCCGCAAUGGGCGAAAGCCUGACGGAGCAACGCCGCGUGAGUGAUGAAGGUCUUCGGAUCGUAAAACUCUGUUAUUAGGGAAGAACAUAUGUGUAAGUAACUGUGCACAUCUUGACGGUACCUAAUCAGAAAGCCACGGCUAACUACGUGCCAGCAGCCGCGGUAAUACGUAGGUGGCAAGCGUUAUCCGGAAUUAUUGGGCGUAAAGCGCGCGUAGGCGGUUUUUUAAGUCUGAUGUGAAAGCCCACGGCUCAACCGUGGAGGGUCAUUGGAAACUGGAAAACUUGAGUGCAGAAGAGGAAAGUGGAAUUCCAUGUGUAGCGGUGAAAUGCUCAGAGAUAUGGAGGAACACCAGUGGCGAAGGCGACUUUCUGGUCUGUAACUGACGCUGAUGUGCGAAAGCGUGGGGAUCAAACAGGAUUAGAUACCCUGGUAGUCCACGCCGUAAACGAUGAGUGCUAAGUGUUAGGGGGUUUCCGCCCCUUAGUGCUGCAGCUAACGCAUUAAGCACUCCGCCUGGGGAGUACGACCGCAAGGUUGAAACUCAAAGGAAUUGACGGGGACCCGCACAAGCGGUGGAGCAUGUGGUUUAAUUCGAAGCAACGCGAAGAACCUUACCAAAUCUUGACAUCCUUUGACAACUCUAGAGAUAGAGCCUUCCCCUUCGGGGGACAAAGUGACAGGUGGCGCAUGGUUGUCGUCAGCUCGUGUCGUGAGAUGUUGGGUUAAGUCCCGCAACGAGCGCAACCCUUAAGCUUAGUUGCCAUCAUUAAGUUGGGCACUCUAAGUUGACUGCCGGUGACAAACCGGAGGAAGGUGGGGAUGACGUCAAAUCAUCAUGCCCCUUAUGAUUUGGGCUACACACGUGCUACAAUGGACAAUACAAAGGGCAGCGAAACCGCGAGGUCAAGCAAAUCCCAUAAAGUUGUUCUCAGUUCGGAUUGUAGUCUGCAACUCGACUACAUGAAGCUGGAAUCGCUAGUAAUCGUAGAUCAGCAUGCUACGGUGAAUACGUUCCCGGGUCU